GAAAAAUUUCUAUAUUUAUCUUUUAAAUUUUAUUUAAUUAAUUGAUUAAUUUCUAAUUUAUUUAAAUUGAUCGUUGAAAACAAACAAAAAUUAUGUCGAUUCACUUCCAAUUUGGUUUCUCAAUGAAAACCCUUCAACUCUAAUAUCCCUUCUCCAAAUUCUUAAUCAUCAAUGCAAAUGCGUUUUCAUUUUCAACACUUCUAUCUCUCUCCCUGUUUUCUGUUUUCUCUCUGUUUCCCCUUAAACCCUAAUACAGCCGCCCUUUUAUCUACCCAAUUUACACCCUCCACCACCCUAAUAGAAAAACCAAUGACAUAUUUGUACUCCUCAUCUCACGAUCUUCUUACUGAAUCUGUUAGAUUUUUGUUUCGAGCAACUUCGCCACUGAUUUUCGUUUCUCCUUAUCCUACCAUCGCAACUCGAAACGGAAAAAAGAAAUGUUUUUCUUGCUCUUCUCAUUAUUCUCAGGUUUGUAAUAGAUUAUAUGCUACGUUUGCUGUUGAUAAUGAAGCUGAGCUAUUGAAAAAAAUCACAAGCAUAAUUUCAAGGGUAAUUAUGGAAGAACACAUGAAGAUGAUGUUGUAUUAUUCCGAAGCAAAUGGUUUGAAUGUGAUUCGUCGUGUUGUUACACAAUUUUGGUAUAAAUGCUUGAAAUGACAAGUGUUGAUAAAUGAAGGUAGAUUUAUCUCACUUUCCCACCCAUUGUAAAUUAAGAGGAAAGGUGUGAACUCUAAGGAAAAUCAUACACAAUACUACAAUAGCAAUGUUAUCUAAUCUUUCAGCUGCUUUGUUGGUCCCUAGGUGUGAAAUUUGUUUUAAUUUCUCAUUUUGAAAUGUAUAUUUGUUUUGAAAUUUUUAUGUUGUGUUUGAUAAGGAUGGUGUUCUUGAGAAAAUCAAAGGAAAAGGUUAUAUUGACAUGUCAACCUAUGUUGGUAUGCUCAGUUGUUGCUGAAAUAUUGGUAUGCUCAGGUGUUGCUGAAAAGUAACUUUCCACCUUUGUUUGUAAAACUUUUGAUUCUGCAACCGAGGUACUAAGCUACCCCUAUUUUUCCUACUGAUUUACAUGUAUCUUUAACUUUAUAUUUGGAUGUAAACCCUUCAUUAAUAGUAUCUACAUGUUGCACUUUAGAUGCACCUCUUUGCAUAAUGUAUUUAUAACUUAAUACCUUGAUGGUCCAAGUCCAACAAUAAUUGAAUAACUUAAGGCUGCCUAUUAUAGACCUGUAAAUGUAAUGAGUAACUUUCUGUUUAUUCCAUCUUAUGUUUGGUGGGAAGCUAUCUCACUAACGUAGAAGUAAUUUUUAGGCUGGUAACUCAUCUUGAUGAAGAAUAAUUGAUAGCUAUCAAUAAUCUUCACUCUACUGCACCAUAAGUUCUCAAUUAUCCUAUUGUGAGUUUUCAAUACUAAACAUGUGCUGCUAUUUUAUUGUGAGCAUUUGGCAAUGAAUGCUUCUUCUUCAACUUAUUUCAGUUCUUACAUCAAAGGUUCUGACAUUUUGACUCUCUACUAUAGUUUUUUAGUUUGUUAUAAAUUUUGAAGUGGUUUCAUUUGUACUAAAUUCAAUGAUGUUAAAAAUAUUUUUCUGCUACAUUUUAUUGUACACUAUGUUUGAUUUUUCUCCUAAAUUCAAACUUUUCAUUUUUCAGUGUAACAGGCUUCAUAUUCCGUCCAAUUGUUGUCAUAGGAAAUUUCAAACGCAUUUGAUGUUUGUGGCUUUUGCAAGAGCUUGUGUCUUUUGAAUUUAUGUAUGAGAUAAGAUGAUGGCAUAUUUAUCAUUACUUGUGUACUGCAGGUUUCUGUAGCUAAUAAAGUGAUUAUACCGGUAAUGAUGGUUGUUAAAUUUAUUGAUAUCAAAGUUAGUUUCCCCGAUGAUAAAAUAAUGCACCUUCUCAUUCAAAAUUAUGAUUAUGUAUUAGAUUAUGAAAAUCGGUUCUCGACUUUUAGUAUUUGAUUUUGGCAUAUUGGUUGUAUACUGAUUUUUCUCUUCUUUUUUAAUUAGUUUUCAACUUUUGUUCACUUAUUUGAAUUUUGUACUGAUUUUUUUAUACAUAAAUUGAGGCAAGGAAUAAUUUAUUUAUCUACUUCAAUUGACAAAUUUGACUCAAUGGGAUUGCUCUUUUUUAUCACCUUUUCAUGGCUUUUAGAAGAAUCUACAAGGUUAGAGUGAAAAUCUUAUUACUUUUUCUUACUCCAAAACUUCUAAUAUCAUGUCAGUAUAGUUAAAAUAAUGAGGCUAGAUUUUAAUAUAGUUUCUGGUGCAAGGGGAAGUUGAAAUGCAACUUAUAAUUGUGACUAUAUUUAUGUGGAAACAACAAUGAAAUUAAAGUUUAUAUAAUUCUUACUGACGCUAUAGAAAAAUUUCAUUUUAUCCACUAAGGCAAAGAAAAGAAUUAAAAUGAAAAAUAUAGAUUAGGCAAAGAAAAGAAUUAAAAUGAAAAAUAUAGAAACAAAUCGUGGAAUUAAAGUGUGGAAUAAUGACACAUCAUUAAGGUAAUUUCAUUUUAGAUUUUAUAAUUAAAUUUUUGUUGUUAAUUAACAAUAAAAUUCAAUUAUAAAAUUAGUUAGUCUGAAUUUUGCAAGUGAUAUAUUUAAUAUUGUUUUCAUUUUUAAAUGAUGUUUGAGAUUUAAUUUUUGUUUUUUUUUAUUGAUUUUUAUACUCCUUAUGUUCAUGUAUUUUUCAAAGAAGUCUAUUGUUCCUAUUUGAUACAUCAAUGGUGGAACAUCAAGAAAACUCGACGAAAUUUCAGAAUCCGAAGGUCUCAAGGUUCCAUAAAACUAGCUGAAUUUGGUUUAAGAAGUUAAGUGAAAUUAAGCAUGGUGAUGUGUUUAUGAUGAAGAACUCUACAGAUCGGUAUCAGGAGUUAUGAGAAAAAUCAAGAAGUUAUACUUGACAAGAAGUCUAGAGAACCAACUAUGUUUGGUUGAUGAUGUUUACUCCUUUUAAUACAUUUAGUGCAGCAUUUAUAGGGUUCUUAAUUAUACAUGUUAGGAUUAUAUUUGGACAAAAACUUUAGAAAGUUGGAUUCAUUUUUGUCGGAUGUUAAAUAAAGAAAGCACGUAAAUUAAUUUGUAGUGCUUAAAUAUUUUUAUUUUGAGUAGUUAGCAUAAAAAAAUUUAUCCGUGCCUUGCACGGGUAUACACAAUAGUAUAAAACAAUUUUAAUCAAAGUCAAUUUUAUCAAAUUCAUUCAAAAUCAAAGUGAAAGAUAAGGCAUCUGAGUGUAAAGCAAAACAAUAACUAACGAUGCCGUUACUAUCCGCCGCAGUUUCCGCUCUCAACUCUUUCUCACCUACCAUUACCGCCCAAUCCACCUUCCCUCCAAAACGCAAUGUUCCCCUCUCCCCUCAAAUUUUCUCCCGCAGAAACAUAUCAUUACUCUCAUUCCUCUUCAUCUCCGCACCCGCCUCCGCCAUUGAUAUUGGCAUCUCAGGACCAAAGGAUUGGCUAAGAGAGCAAAAGAAGAAAUCAUCCAAGUUUUUACUAGCUCCCGUUGAUGCUUCCCGCGAAACUCUUCGCUCUGUAUAUCUUUCUCUCACGGAAACCAGUGCUGCUUUUACCGAUGAGGAUUUUCAGAAAUUUCAGCAGCUAUUCAGAUCUGCUGCCAGAGAUUGUGUCCCGCAGGAUAGGAAUUCUUUCGUCGCUUUCCAAGCUAACACCGGUGUUGAGGUGUGCACAUUUCGGUUGGUUGUAAAGAAUGCAGCCUCCUUACUUGGAAAGAAGGAUCCUGUAAAGUUAGAAGCUGAAGCUUUGCUAGAUAAUCUUAUAAGAUCUUUCACAUCUAUCAGUGGAAUGGCAAGUGAAACCAACAUUGAUCUUGCGUCAGAUAGGAGAAAGAUAGCAGAAGCCAUAUCGGAUACAAUAACAUGUCUCGACAAAUUUGAGCAAGGAAUCAGGAAUUGUCUUGAAAUCUGAGACUGUAAAUAGUCUGUUCUACUUUUCAAAGUGGAAGCAAUACUGCCGUAACGUGAAAUAUUGGCGCUUGGCUGUAUCUAAAGUCUCAAACUCAACAAAUGUACUAUCGAGCGUUGUCAGAAUACAAUUUGGAUUAAUAAAUAGACCUGAAUCUCGUUCUUACCCUGAAUUGAGCCGCUCGAUUUACCGAUCUGACAAUUGGGUUUAUUUGUGUGUGAAUACUUAUUCACCUGGAGAAUCUUCUAUUGAGAGCCCAAUUUUUUGUCGUCGUCAAUGUGCUGACAACUGAGAAUAUCAAAAUAUGUUUUUGUGCUGGUUAAAGUCGAAUUUUGAUCGGGUGAACCAGAAGCUUCCACUAAGUACAAGCGACAGCAAGGUGCUCCGUCCUCUGGAUUGGUUUGUAAUGACCUAGGCAAGCUGCGGAGCUUGUUGAAGAGAUUUAACGGAUCAUUCAAGAGGCCAAAAUGAGCAUCUGGGUCUCCAAUUUGUGAAAGUUUUACAUGAGUGAACCCAAUAGAUGGCAAAAGUUGGUCUGGCCAAUCACUGUAAAAUUGGAAGACUGAAUUGGAUAGUGUGGUUGACGACUUAUUCAUGAAGUCUGCUAUGAUGACUGUGUGAGUUAAGACACAAUUGUUAGCUAAAAUCCUCAGCAGUUGCAUGGCAUUGGAUUGGGCGAGGUAGUACAAGAUACCUUCUAGAAUCCAAACUGUGCUCUUUUGUGGCAAGAAACCUGCAAUUUGAAGCUUUUCCAUCCAAUCAUUUUCUCUUAUGUCUGCUGCUACUCUAGUUAGUGAUUUUGCUUUUGACAUACUAUGUUGUGAGUCAAAUAUGGAUUCCUUAGCUGCUUGCAGAAUAGUGCUUUUCACCUCCAAGACUUCUGCAAAAUCAACCUCAAAGACAUCACUGUCCUUUAAGCAAUUCAAACGAUAUGCUCUCGUGUCCAUUCCUGCAUCAAAUUUUGCAAGAGUAUAUAUUAGCUAACUUGAAUGACUAUAAUCCUUUCUAGUGCAGAUCUUCGAGGUUUCAUUGGCAGCGAUAAUGAUUAGAUGCUGCUGGUCAGAGUGGAUGUGGUCCAACUUUGUUCUCUCUAAUGAUCGCUGCGGACUUAAGUGCUCUUGUUUAAAAUGUGCUGUUACAUUUUAAUCAUGUCUGAAAGGUCCUGCUUGUAUCCACAAAUUGACUAGCAGUAGAAUAAAUGAAGAUAAUAUGAAAGAUACCAUGUCUUAAAAGGUUUAAA